GUCGACAGCUGCUUGAAUGAAAUGACAUAGCUGUUGGACCUGGUGCUGCAAAGAGAAGGCAUUAUGUUACUGCCUGACUGAAACUUGGAUGAGCGCACAUUUGUCUGUCGAACUAAGUAUUGCUAUUUAUGACCCUCUCAUAAACAACGAGGUACAGUUGAAAGUGGAGCUUUUCUACACCACCUUUGUCAUGGGAGAGAAACCAUGAACCUGAAGUGUGCCCAGUCAUAAAGAAAGCAAAGGCUAUCAUGGAUAAAGUGGACAUUACCAAUAAUAAAAGAACGUCCAUGCAACACACACGGUUCUCCCACGCAGACGUCGCCCUGCUACCUUCCUUCCCUCUGUCCCCCGACCCGACAAACCCGCUGACUCACCUGGGGACGCUGCUGCCCGGACACGACGCACCGCGGACCAGCGGAUGGGACAGGUAAUAACUUGGAGGCGGCGAAGUUGUUCACCUCCGACAAAAAGAAA